CCGGCGACCGGCGCACGGGUGAGUAACACGUAUGCAACCUGCCCGUCUCAGGGGGAUAAUCGUCGGAAACGGCGUCUAAUACCCCGUAUGAAGCUGGACGGCAUCGUCUGGUUUUGAAAGAAUAUCGGAGACGGAUGGGCAUGCGGCGCAUUAGCUAGUUGGCGGGGUAACGGCCCACCAAGGCGACGAUGCAUAGGGGUUCUGAGAGGAAGGUCCCCCACACUGGUACUGAGACACGGACCAGACUCCUACGGGAGGCAGCAG
rnacentral:rRNA from 1 species